rnacentral:tRNA from 1 species
GCCGGAGUGGUGGAAUUGGUAGACACGCAGGUUUUAGGUACCUGUGCCGCGAGGCAUGAGAGUUCGAGUCUCUUCUUCGGCA